AUCUGGGCGGCGGAAUUCAGGAUGGCUGGCGGGUCUCGCGCUCGUCCGGCCGUUUGAUAUUUCCGUCGCCGUGUCAGACGUCGCGACCUGUUCGUCGUCGGUCCCUGCUCGGAGGAAUCGCGAUCGAGUUCGUUGCGGACGCGCUUCGGCGUGUUCCGCGGCGAAGACGCGACUCUCUGGCUGACGACGGACAGUAGGCAACGGUGUCCGGCGCCGUGUCUCGCACUCGGUGUCGGUGCCGGUCAGCGACGAUUUCUUCGGGCCUCUUUCCGACCCGUCUUGAAACACGGACCAAGGAGUCUAACAUGCGCGCGAGUCGCGGGGUUUCGAGCGUGCCACGUUGUGCGCUCGUUACUUCCGAAACCCGUACGUUGAAGGCGUAAUGAAAGUGAACAGGGAAGAUGGCGUUCCGAGUCCACGUACCGUGAUCGAGUAUCGCGGCCGGACGUCCGCACUCCCGGGGCGUCUCAAUGGUUCGUCGCGGAUGCGGACGGUCGUCUUUCGGGGCGGCCGUCGGUCUGCGCCGGUCCGA
rnacentral:rRNA from 1 species